rnacentral:rRNA from 1 species
GAUAAACGCUGGCGGCGUGCAUGAGACAUGCAAGUCGAACGAAGGAUCGGGCUUGCUCGAUCCUUAGUGGCGGACGGCUGAGUAACGCGUAGGUGACCUACCCCGAAGUGGGGAAUAACUGCCCGAAAGGGCGGCUAAUACCGCAUGUGGUCGCACGUUCAUUCGUGCGAGUAAAGCCGCAAGGCGCUUCGGGAGGGGCCUGCGUCCGAUUAGCUCGUUGGUGGGGUAAUGGCUUACCAAGGCGACGAUCGGUAGGUGGUCUGAGAGGACGAUCACCCAGACUGGGACUGAGACACGGCCCAGACUCCUACGGGAGGCAGCAGUCGGGAAUUUUGCUCAAUGGGGGAAACCCUGAAGCAGCAACGCCGCGUGAGGGAUGAAGGCCUUCGGGUUGUAAACCUCUUUUGUCAGGGACGAUGAUGACGGUACCUGGCGAAUAAGCCACGGCUAACUACGUG